GCUGUGCUCGACUCCAGGAUGCAGCAAAACUGCGCAGAGAGGAGGAGGUCCCUCAGAAACUACAGCCACAUCUGCAUAAAAACACAGCACUAUACGGGUUACAGGCGAGGGGGCACAACGAGCCAGCCCACUCAUAGAGCCAAGUAGCCACAGUGCAAAAACAUACAGAAAAUCCCUGGGUUUCACAUUUGGCCUGGAACAUACAGGUCGCGGGGGCAGCAGACUCAGCAGAGACGCCCAGACGUCCCUCUCCCCAGACACCUCC